rnacentral:rRNA from 2 species
UUCGUGUGAACAGUGGUUGAUCACGAGUUAGUCGGUCCUAAGUUCAAGGCGAAAGCCGAAAAUUUUCAAGUAAAAAAAAAUGCAUUAUAUUUAAAACUUUGUUUAUUUACCAUACUUGAAUAAUUUUGAACGAAAGGGAAUACGGUUCCAAUUCCGUAACCUGUUGAGUAUCCGUUUGUUAUUAAAUAUGGGCCUCGUGCUCAUCCUGGCAACAGGAACGACCAUAAAGAAGCCGUCGAGAGAUAUCGGAAGAGUUUUCUUUUCUGUUUUAUAGCCGUACUACCAUGGAAGUCUUUCGCAGAGAGAUAUGGUAGAUGGGCUAGAAGAGCAUGACAUAUACUGUUGUGUCGAUAUUUUCUCCUCGGACCUUGAAAAUUUAUGGUGGGGAUACGCAAACUUCUCAACAGGCCGUACCAAUAUCCGCAGCUGGUCUCCAAGGUGAAGAGUCUCUAGUCGAUAGAAUA